rnacentral:tRNA from 1 species
GCCUGGCUGGCUCAAUUGGUAGAGCAUCUGACUCUCGAUCUCAAGGUCAUGAGUUAGAGACCCAUAUUAGGCA